CUACGGGUUGCUCCAGUGGGGAAUAUUGCACAAUGGGCGCAAGCCUGAUGCAGCCAUGCCGCGUGUAUGAAGAAGGCCUUCGGGUUGUAAAGCACUUUCGUCGGGGAGGAAGGGCGUAAAGCUAAUACCUUUGCGCUUUGACGUUACCCGCAGAAGCAGCACCGGCUAACUCCGUGCCAGCAGCCGCGGUAAUACGGAGGGUGCAAGCGUUAAUCGGAAUUACUGGGCGUAAAGCGCACGCAGGCGGAUUGUUAAGUCGGAUGUGAAAUCCCCGGGCUCAACCUGGGAACUGCAUCUGAUACUGGCAAGCUUGAGUCUCGAAGAGGGGGGUAGAAUUCCAGGUGUAGCGGUGAAAUGCGUAGAGAUCUGGAGGAAUACCGGUGGCGAAGGCGGCCCCCUGGACGAAGACUGACGCUCAGGUGCGAAAGCGUGGGGAGCAAACAGGAUUAGAUACCCCCGUAGUC
rnacentral:rRNA from 1 species